UACGUAGGGUGCGAGCGUUGCCCGGAUUUAUUGGGCGUAAAGGGCGCGUAGGCGGUCACGCGCGUCCGUUGUGAAAUCGCUCGGCUCAACUGGGCGAGGUCAGCGGAUACGGCGUGGCUGGAGCAAGCUAGGGGGCAAUGGAAUUCCUGGUGUAGCGGUGAAAUGCGCAGAUAUCAGGAGGAACACCGGUGGCGAAGGCGGGUCUCUGGGCCGAUACUGACGCUGAGGAGCGAAAGCCAGGGGAGCAAACGGG
rnacentral:rRNA from 1 species